rnacentral:rRNA from 1 species
AUCAACUUUCGAUGGUAGGAUAGAGGCCUACCAUGGUGGUAACGGGUAACGGGGUGUUAGGGCACGACACCGGAGAGGGAGCCUGAGAAACGGCUACCACAUCCAAGGAUGGCAGCAGGCGCGCAAAUUACCCAAUCCCGACACGGGGAGGUAGUGACAAUAAAUAACAAUACGGGGUUCUUUCGGAUCUCGUAAUUGGAAUGAGUACAAUUUAAAUCUCUUAACGAGGAACAAUUGGAGGGCAAGUCUGGUGCCAGCAGCCGCGGUAAUUCUAGCUCCAAUAGCGUAUAUUAAAGUUGUUGCAGUUAAAAAGCUCGUAGUUGAAUUUCGGGGUUAGUAGGUUGGUCAUGCCUCCGGUAUGUACUGAUCUCACUGAUUCCUCCUUCCUUAUGAACCGUAAUGCCAUUAAUUUGGUGUUGCGGGGAAUUUGGACUGUUACUUUGAAAAAAUUAGAGUGUUUAAAGCAGGCUAACGCUUGAAUACAUUAGCAUGGAAUAAUGAAAUAGGACGUUCGAUCUUAUUUUGUUGGUUUCUAGGAUUGACGUAAUGAUUAAUAGGGAUAGUUGGGGGCAUUAGUAUUCAAUUGUCAGAGGUGAAAUUCUUGGAUUUAUUGAAGACUAACUACUGCGAAAGCAUUUGCCAAGGAUGUUUUCAUUAAUCAAGAACGAAAGUUAGGGGAUCGAAGACGAUCAGAUACCGUCGUAGUCUUAACCAUAAACUAUGCCGACUAGGGAUCGGAUGAUGUUAAUUUUUUAAUGACUCAUUCGGCGCCUUACGGGAAACCAAAGUGUUUGGGUUC